rnacentral:lncRNA from 1 species
UGUUGGUGUUUGGCAAGAGGAAGCAAAAGGAGGAGAAGAGCAAGAUUGAGAAACGGAUUUGUCCAAAACAUUAAUGUUCCUCUCAUCACCGCAUCACAACAAAGGAGCUCAUAUAUAUGUAUAUAUUGCGCAAAACUUACAAUUAGAGAUGAAAGGUAGCCUACUGAUGAUUUUGACCUGUUGACUAAGUGAGGAUAGUUUCUGUAUAACUAAAAAGGUUUGAAACUGCAGAUGGAGUUAAAUAAAUUUUACUAUUUCAUGUUCACGAGUCUAGGAUAAAAAUAUCAAAUGAUUUUGAUGAACAUGAGUCCGGGUCAUGUUCAUGGGUUUUGUUCAGAAUGUCAAGUUAUAAUGUUGACUCU